CUGGCUCAGAAUGAACGCUGGCGGCGUGCUUAACACAUGCAAGUCGAACGAGAAAUCUUUAGCUUGCUAGAGAAAGUAAAGUGGCGCACGGGUGAGUAACGCGUGGGUAAUCUGCCUCCGAAUCGGGGAUAACAUUGCGAAAGCGAUGCUAAUACCGGAUAAAAUCUGGUUGGCUUCGGUGAACCGGAUCAAAGGUGGUCUCUUUAUAAAAGCUACCGUUUGGAGAUGAGCUCGCGUACCAUUAGUUAGUUGGUGAGGUAAAGGCUCACCAAGGCGACGAUGGUUAGCUGGUCUGAGAGGAUGAUCAGCCACACCGGAACUGGAACACGGUCCGGACUCCUACGGGAGGCAGCAGUGAGGAAUUUUGCGCAAUGGGGGAAACCCUGACGCAGCAACGCCGCGUGAGUGAUGAAGGCUUUCGGGUCGUAAAGCUCUGUCAGGUGGGAAGAACCCACCAAGUGUUAAGACCACUUGGUGCUGACGGUACCACCGAAGGAAGCACCGGCUAACUCCGUGCCAGCAGCCGCGGUAAUACGGGGGGUGCGAGCGUUAUUCGGAAUCAUUGGGCGUAAAGGGCGCGCAGGCGGUUUUGUAAGUCAGAUGUGAAAUCCCGGGGCUUAACCCCGGAAGUGCAUAUGAAACUAUGAGACUUGAGUAUGGGAGAGGGAAGCGGAAUUCCUGGUGUAGCGGUGAAAUGCGUAGAUAUCAGGAGGAACACCGGUGGCGAAGGCGGCUUCCUGGACCAAUACUGACGCUGAGGCGCGAAGGCGUGGGGAGCGAACAGGAUUAGAUACCCUGGUAGUCCACGCAGUAAACGUUGAUCACUAGGUGUAGCGGGUAUUGACCCCUGCUGUGCCGGAGUUAACGCAUUACGUGAUCCGGCUGGGGAGUACGAUCGC
rnacentral:rRNA from 1 species